AUUGAACGCUGGCGGCAGGCCUAACACAUGCAAGUCGAACGGUAACAGGAAGAAGCUUGCUUCUUUGCUGACGAGUGGCGGACGGGUGAGUAAUGUCUGGGAAACUGCCUGAUGGAGGGGGAUAACUACUGGAAACGGUAGCUAAUACCGCAUAAUGUCGCAAGACCAAAGAGGGGGAACUUCGGGCCUCUUGCCAUCGGAUGUGCCCAGAUGGGAUUAGCUAGUAGGUGGGGUAACGGCUCACCUAGGCGACGAUCCCUAGCUGGUCUGAGAGGAUGACCAGCCACACUGGAACUGAGACACGGUCCAGACUCCUACGGGAGGCAGCAGUGGGGAAUAUUGCACAAUGGGCGCAAGCCUGAUGCAGCUAUGCCGCGUGUAUGAAGAAGGCCUUCGGGUUGUAAAGUACUUUCAGCGGGGAGGAAGGGAGUAAAGUUAAUACCUUUGCUCAUUGACGUUACCCGCAGAAGAAGCACCGGCUAACUCCGUG
rnacentral:rRNA from 1 species